UCGGGAAUUUUGGGCAAUGGGCGAAAGCCUGACAGAGCAAUACCGCGUGAGGGAUGAAGGCCUAUGGGUUGUAAACCUCUUUUCUCAAGGAGGAAGGUAUGACGUUACUUGAGGAAUAAGCAUCGGCUAACCCUGUGCCAGCAGCCGCGGUAAUACAGGGGAUGCAAGUGUUAUCCGGAAUCAUUGGGCGUAAAGCGUCUGCAGGUUGACUUUUAAGUCUUUUGUUAAAGCUCUGGGCUUAACCUAGAAUAUGCAAAGGAAACUAUUUGUCUUGAGUAUGGUAGAGGUAAAGGGAAUUUCCAGUGGAGCGGUGAAAUGCUUAGAUAUUGGAAAGAACACCAACAGCGAAGGCACUUUACUGGGCCAGUACUGACACUGAGAGACGAAAGCUAGGGGAGCAAACGGGAUUAGAUACCCCCGUAGUCCCUGAGCGGGCUGGCAAGGCGCAU
rnacentral:rRNA from 1 species